rnacentral:rRNA from 1 species
AUUGAACGCUGGCGGCAUGCCUUACACAUGCAAGUCGAACGGCAGCAUGAUCUAGCUUGCUAGAUUGAUGGCGAGUGGCGAACGGGUGAGUCAUACAUCGGAACGUGCCCUGUAGUGGGGGAUAACUAGUCGAAAGAUUAGCUAAUACCGCAUACGACCUGAGGGUGAAAGUGGGGGACCGCAAGGCCUCAUGCUAUAGGAGCGGCCGGUGUCUGAUUAGCUAGUUGGUGAGGUAAAGGCUCACCAAGGCGACGAUCAGUAGCUGGUCUGAGAGGACGAUCAGCCACACUGGGACUGAGACACGGCCCAGACUCCUACGGGAGGCAGCAGUGGGGAAUUUUGGACAAUGGGCGAAAGCCUGAUCCAGCAAUGCCGCGUGUGUGAAGAAGGCCUUCGGGUUGUAAAGCACUUUUGUCCGGAAAGAAAUGGCUCUGGUUAAUACCUGGGGUCGAUGACGGUACCGGAAGAAUAAGGACCGGCUAACUACGUG